rnacentral:tRNA from 1 species
CAAGGAAUAGUAUAAUUAAGAAUCCGAGUUUUGGGAAUUCGGGGUGGGAGUUAGAGUCUCCCUUCUUUGA